UUGGUAUUGGGUAAAAAAGGCAAUUACUGAGGAUGGUCUUAAAAAUUUUUAACCAGUUAUUUUUCAAUAUAUUAUAUUCUUCAGAGUAUCAGAUAUUUGACUUGCGGUUUGUGGACCUAAUAAAAUAUAUUUUAAUAAUGUCAGUUUAUCCUUGCAGUACAGCCUUUCUUUUAUAGUCGAAACAAUCAAUGUGACUUGAAAAGAGAUGUGAAUGUAUUUAAUAUAAAAAUAGGGUUCACACGGAUAAUUGUUUCUUUAAAAGUCAGGAGGUUUUAAAAGUUUAAACCUAUGUAUUGCACUUACUCUGCCAUAUUGUUCAAGCUACCAGUCUGGCUGAAUGUGAUAACAAAAAUACAGAAAUGUCCUUUCUUCAUUUCUAACUUUCUUGCCGAUUAAAGAGUAUCAGCAGAUGAUUUUUUAUCUUUUAUUUAUCAUCUAUUAAGCAGAAAAUGUCACUGCUAGAAAAUCUGAGUCUAUUAAAAGAGUUAAUAAUAAAUUUAGAUUAACUAUACUAAAAUUACGUUUCUUUAGAGAAAUUAUUGUGAAUACAACCUUAAACAAAACAAAUAAUAUACAAUAUGAGUGUUUACAGGGUUUGCCUUAAUUUCAGAGCAUCAUGUAUGAAUGUGUGAAUAAAUAAAAUAUUAAAUCACCAACUACCAUAUCUGAUCUUAUAAGUAUCUAUUAUCUCUUUUAAAUUCAAUACUGUGCACAAAAGAUUACUUUCUUGGUGUAUAAAUUUCCCAAUUUCUAGGACCAAACCAGUUCCCAAGGGUUUAUUCUUAUGUUUUCCUCAUCCAGACUUCAGAUCUUCUUUAAUGAUUUGUGAUGAAAUAGUUUUGCCAUUUAUCCUAAUUGCAAAUUAAGGGGGUAAUACACUCUCAAGGAAAUUUCUUUUUACAAUUGAAAUAAUGGAGACAAAAAAAAAUGCAUUCUCCACUGCUACUUUUGCUUAGGGAGCUACCAUUUGAUUUUUAUGGGGGGCUAGGAUGAUAAAUUUUGUCCCGCUUUUUUUUUUAGUUGUAAUCUCUGUCCUGCCUUUUUAUUUUUUACUCUAUUCGGUCCUGCCUUUUUUUUUACUAGUUUAUCCUGACUUCUUUUACCCAAAUUGUCAUCCUGUCUUUUUUUUUGCCAAGAUGCUCAUCCUGCCUUUUUUUUUUACUCAAAACUCCUGUCCUGCCUAUUUUUUUCAAAUUUCAUCCUAGCCUCCCCAUAAAAAUCAAAUGGUAGCUCCCUUAUUUAAAAAGUAAACUGCAAUUGUAGUAACAGACUGGUCAUUGUCCAAUUAUGUGCCACAAAUGGCAGAAAUCAGUAAUGGCCUGGUUACAAGGUUAACAAUCAAUAUAAUGAAGGGUCACCAGAGAUCCAAAACGUAAAAUCUUUGUGAUGAAAGUUACCUUUGCAUGAGACAAAAGUAUACUUUCUAUGGAGUGCUGUACAGUACAUGCUAAAAUAAGAGUUUUUAAAUAAGAGUACUAUACAGAAUGUGUUCAUAUUAAAAGGAUGCCCCACUCCCACUAUCAUUUUCUAUGUUCAGUAGACUGUGAAAUUGUGUUUAAAACUCUAAUUUAGAAUUAAAAAGAGAGAGAUCAUAUCAUAGGGAACAUGUGUACUAAGUUUCAAGUUGAUUGGACCUCAACUUUAUCAAAAACUACCUUGACCAAACACUUUUACCUGAAGCUGGACAGACGAACGAACUGACAGAUCAAAAGACGCACAGACCAAAAAACCUAAUGCACCUAGGAGGGGCAUAUUGUUUUUUUAUGUAAACCUGAAAUAAUUAAUACAAGUGCAAAGAAGACAAUGACAUUUGUACAAUGAUAUUUGUAAGAUCCGAUAUGGUAUUUGGUCAAAACACCUUGAUAUGGUAAAUUAAUU
rnacentral:lncRNA from 1 species